AGUUACCACAUAUAUGACAGGAAUCUGGGGGAAACAUAUACUGCAUGCACCAGUUUCCCAGUGUUUCACUUACAUAUCCUCACUUCCAGCGCCACCAAGUUGACACUGCUCCCCCCAUGUUUAGCUUUUUUGUGUCGGAGGGGAACCGCAUUGCCAGUGUCUUGUUAAACCUUUCAACUAAGUCAUUUGUUUGGAUGGUACACUGAGGUUUGUAACUGGGUCACCUUAAAUAAUUUACACAGUUCUUUGGUGACUUUGAACAUAAAGGGGGUGCCUUGGUCGGUCAGUAUCUCUUUAGGGAUACCCACCCUACUAAACACUUGUGCCAGCUCUUUAGCAGUGGUUUUGGCUGAGGAAUUCUGUAAUGGUAUUGUCUUGGGAUAGCAAGUAGCAUAGUCCAGUAUGACGAAGAUGUGCUGAUGCCCUCGGCAGAUUUUAUUAUCUGCCCCACUAGAUCCAUACCAAUCCUCUAAAAGGGUUUUUCUAUGAUGGGCAGGGAACCAAGGGACUAUGGAAACUUUCUUUAGGGGCAGUGCACUAAGAGCAUGAAAUACAGUAUUCUGAAACAUCUUUAUGUAGCCCAGAGCAGAAAAAUCUUUGUAAAAUCAUCUCUGUAGUUUUCUCUACUCCUAAAUGUCCCCCAAAAGGUGACCAUGAACCAGGUCUAACACCAUUCUUCUAUAUGGUUUAGGAACAACCAGUUGUUCAAUAAUAUCUUCUCCUUUCUUAACUACAUCAUACAAUAAAUCCUGUUUUAUUACCAUGUGAGGGAAAGAAAUACUCAUGUUAGUGUCUACCAGGUUCCCAACCUUUGCAUUUUCUCUUACCUUAGCAAGAGUAGUAUCUCCUUUUCUUAGGAAGCCAACCCCUGCGCAGCUGCAACCUAAUCAAAAUGCAGCUACCUGUCUGGGAACCCAAUUCACCUGGAGCAGGCUACUGGAAUGGAGGACUCAACUUCUUUUGUUUGUUGACUCCAGUGACUUUGUAAACCAGCUUUUAUUUGAAGGAGAAGGAAAGGUAUAAUCAGUGGUGGGUGUCAGAAUGGUAGGCACCCGCCCAUUGAUUGUAAUCGCUCACUUGAUACCCCGGGUCAGUGCUCCUGUUAGCAGAAACCUGCUCCAGGCCAAGGUAACUGUAAAAAGCUGAACUUUUUUCACCAGAAGGCAGCUUCCUUUCUAAGGGGAAAACCUCCCCAGGCAAUCCCCCAAGAUAAACAGGAGAUGGUAGUUUUUGAACUCUCUAAACACACUGUCUGGAAUCAUGUGGCAUUGAACCCUUAUCAAACUCUACCUGCACUAACCUUCUGAGCCUGGGCACUCAUGGGGUUAAGGCUGGUUAGUUAUUCUGUCCAUCUUCUCUCCCUGCUGACCUCUCUUUUUCAUCUACCUCAUUAUUCUCAUGUGGUUGCAAUGUAAAAUUAAGCCCCUAUAUAAGCCUGUUUAGUGUUUAGCCAGAUCUAGCCUGUGACCUGUUUGAGUUCCCUAGCCUGAUCCCUGUCUGGUUUCCUGCUUGUAUCUGAGAUCCUAAGUCCUUUUCUUGGUUCUGAGUCCUUGACCAGUUCCCUGCUUGCUUUGUGUUUUGAUCUCCAGGUUUUGACCUUGGCACACCUUACAGCCUGCCCCUGACCUCGGCCCGUUUACCAGAUUUUCCUUGCUCGCUGCCAGUCCAGACCCUCUGCCUGUUUUAUCGACUUGUGAUUGUUGGCUGCCUGCCCUUGAUCAUUGGCCUGAUAAUGUUGCAUCUUCAAAGCUUAAUGAAGAGUUUCAACAUUUUCUCCUGCUGGGUGUGUAUGGCCUUCUCCAUCCAGUGUCUGCAGACGUUUAAGAGAUGAAUCUCGACGUGUGAGAGGCAUGGCCCAUAAUCCCUGAAAUCCACUUCCAGGAACAUUACGCUUCACUGAAAACAAAUAUAUUACAUGUAAAAAUGGAGAAAACUGUUGUCUAUUAAAAUGAUCUCAAAAUAAAUGUAUUUAUAAAAUAGUA